CAGUUUUGUAGUUUAAUUCAGAAUACUAACUUUGGGGGUUAGUGGUCUCUUGUUUUGGGAGUUGGCUGG
rnacentral:tRNA from 1 species